UACGUAGGGCGCAAGCGUUGUCCGGAAUUAUUGGGCGUAAAGAACUCGUAGGCGGCUUGUCGCGUCGGAUGUGAAAGCCCGGGGCUUAACUCCGGGUCUGCAUUCGAUACGGGCAGGCUAGAGUUCGGUAGGGGAGAUCGGAAUUCCUGGUGUAGCGGUGAAAUGCGCAGAUAUCAGGAGGAACACCGGUGGCGAAGGCGGAUCUCUGGGCCGAUACUGACGCUGAGGAGCGAAAGCGUGGGGAGCGAACAGG
rnacentral:rRNA from 1 species